rnacentral:rRNA from 1 species
CCCUUAGAUGUCCUGGGCCGCACGCGCGCUACACUGACAUGUUCAACAAGCCUCCUAGUUCGACAGGAUUUGGGAAAUCUUUGAACGCAUGUCGUGAUAGGGAUAGAUCAUUGCAAUUAUUGAUCUUGAACGAGGAAUUCCUAGUAAACGCGAGUCAUCAGCUCGCAUUGAUUACGUCCCUGCCCUUUGUACACACCGCCCGUCGCACCUACCGAUUGAAUGUUUCGGUGAAGAUUCCGGAUAGGACUUUUUUGAUUUAUUUCAAUUCUGUCUUAAAAGCUGUCUAAACCUCAACAUUUAGAGGAAGGUGAAGUCGUAACA